GAUGAACGCUGGCGGCGUGGCUAAUACAUGCAAGUCGAGCGAACAGACGAGGAGCUUGCUCCUCUGACGUUAGCGGCGGACGGGUGAGUAACACGUGGAUAACCUACCUAUAAGACUGGGAUAACUUCGGGAAACCGGAGCUAAUACCGGAUAAUAUAUUGAACCGCAUGGUUCAAUAGUGAAAGACGGUUUUGCUGUCACUUAUAGAUGGAUCCGCGCCGCAUUAGCUAGUUGGUAAGGUAACGGCUUACCAAGGCAACGAUGCGUAGCCGACCUGAGAGGGUGAUCGGCCACACUGGAACUGAGACACGGUCCAGACUCCUACGGGAGGCAGCAGUAGGGAAUCUUCCGCAAUGGGCGAAAGCCUGACGGAGCAACGCCGCGUGAGUGAUGAAGGUCUUCGGAUCGUAAAACUCUGUUAUUAGGGAAGAACAAAUGUGUAAGUAACUAUGCACGUCUUGACGGUACCUAAUCAGAAAGCCACGGCUAACUGCGUG
rnacentral:rRNA from 1 species